UUCCUUCUUAUCACUUUCCUCUUCUCUCUUCUCCUCUGAUCCCACCACACUUUUGAACUUUCACUCAAUGGCGAUGCAGCUUCCUCCGACGACACUUUACGCCGGAAGAUCCUCCGUGGUCUUACCUCCGACGACUCCAACCCUCCAGAGAUCAUCUUUCUUGCCUUAUUACUCGAUGAGGCUACUCGGAAACAAGAAGUCUCUUUCCAAAUCCUCUGCUCCUAGAUUCUCCAUGCGUGUCUCCUCUAAGCAAGCCUAUAUUUGCCGUGAUUGCGGGUCUCUUUCAAUCUUGAUCUCUCUUUCUCUCUUCUUGGUUACCUCUAACAUACAAAGUUUGUUUAUUUAUCUUCUUCUCUUUGAUUUUGCAGGUAUAUUUACAAUGAUAGAACUCCAUUUGACAAGUUACCUGAUAACUAUUUCUGUCCAGGUAUCGUGAUUCAUGUUUAAAGAAUCAACAAGUUGUAGCUAUCACUAGUUGGGACUGUGUUUGGUUUCAAAUGGGUUUAAGGUUUUGUUUUCAGUGUGUGCUGCUCCUAAACGGCGGUUUAGAGCUUACAUGCCUGAUGUGAGCAAGAAUGUC
rnacentral:lncRNA from 1 species